rnacentral:rRNA from 1 species
AACGAACGCUGGCGGCAUGCCUAACACAUGCAAGUCGAACGAGACCUUCGGGUCUAGUGGCGCACGGGUGCGUAACGCGUGGGAAUCUGCCCUUCGGUUGGGAAUAACUGAGAGAAAUUUCAGCUAAUACCUUAUAAUGUCUUCGGACCAAAGAUUUAUCGCCGAGGGAUGAGCCCGCGGAGGAUUAGGUAGUUGGUGGGGUAAUGGCCUACCAAGCCGACGAUCCUUAGCUGGUCUGAGAGGAUGAUUAGCCACACUGGGACUGAGACACGGCCCAGACUCCUACGGGAGGCAGCAGUGGGGAAUAUUGGACAAUGGGCGAAAGCCUGAUCCAGCAAUGCCGCGUGAGUGAUGAAGGCCUUAGGGUUGUAAAGCUCUUUUACCCGGGAUGAUAAUGACAGUACCGGGAGAAUAAGCUCCGGCUAACUCCGUGCCAGCAGCCGCCGUAA